rnacentral:rRNA from 1 species
GAUGAACGCUAGCGGCGUGCCUUAUGCAUGCAAGUCGAACGGUCUUAAGCAAUUAAGAUAGUGGCAAACGGGUGAGUAACGCGUAAGUAACCUACCUCUAAGUGGGGGAUAGCUUCGGGAAACUGAAGGUAAUACCGCAUGUGAUGGGCUGACAUAAGUCGGUUCAUUAAAGCCGCAAGGUGCUUGGUGAGGGGCUUGCGUCCGAUUAGCUAGUUGGUGGGGUAAUGGCCUACCAAGGCUUCGAUCGGUAGCUGGUCUGAGAGGAUGAUCAGCCACACUGGGACUGAGACACGGCCCAGACUCCUACGGGAGGCAGCAGCAAGGAAUCUUGGGCAAUGGGCGAAAGCCUGACCCAGCAACGCCGCGUGAGGGAUGAAGGCUUUCGGGUUGUAAACCUCUUUUCACAGGGAAGAAUAAUGACGGUACCUGUGGAAUAAGCUUCGGCUAACUACGUGCCAGCAACCGCGGUAAUACGUAGGAAGCAAGCGUUAUCCGGAUUUAUUGGGCGUAAAGUGAGCGUAGGUGGUCUUUCAAGUUGGAUGUGAAAUUUCCCGGCUUAACCGGGACGUGUCAUUCAAUACUGUUGGACUAGAGUACAGCAGGAGAAAACGGAAUUCCCGGUGUAGUGGUAAAAUGCGUAGAUAUCGGGAGGAACACCAGAGGCGAAGGCGGUUUUCUAGGUUGUCACUGACACUGAGGCUCGAAAGCGUGGGGAGCGAACAGAAUUAGAUACUCUGGUAGUCCACGCCUUAAACUAUGGACACUAGGUAUAGGGAG